rnacentral:lncRNA from 1 species
GACGUACUAGACUAAGACCAGGGUAAGCUAAGUUAGGCCACCCAAUCAUAUGGGCAGCCAGCCAUCAAACCACAUUUAUUUCUUCUUCUUUUUCUUCUUCGCUCCCAUCUCAGAAAUGGUAAGUGUUAAUUAGGUCUUAACCCCCCUACCCUUUUCCUUCUUGUAUACUUCGUUUCUCCCUUCAGAGUUCACAUGGUUACAAAUGGAUUUUGCUUUUGCAGGCCAAGAAACCUGUGAAAACCACAAUACACAUAUAGUCUCUCUCUCUCUCUCUCUCUCCACAUACAGAAUAUAUAUCACCCUAUCUGUAUCUCUCUGUACUAUAUUGUUACCAUCAUUCAAAUCUUCUGUGUUUGUUUUACAUACAUACAGAUUGGGAGAUGUUGUCAUGGGAAGCAAGUACAAAUUCAAUUGAUGUAUGAUUUGGCUUUAUCUUCUCUUUCGGUGGAGACAUAAGGGCGGCCAUGAAUUUCGACGUCAUUCCAGGCUAACUCUGCAGAACAUGUGAUUUCAGACUCACUCUGUGGGAAGCCAACAGGAAGGGGAACUGACUAACGUUAUCAUACAAAAGCACAGGUUGGCUCCUUCUGACCCUUGGCCCUUGUCAUGUAUACCAUCUUGUGUAUGAGGUUUUUAUAUAUGAGU